CGGGGAAUAUUGCACAAUGGAGGAAACUCUGAUGCAGCGACGCCGCGUGAGUGAAGAAGUAAUUCGUUAUGUAAAGCUCUAUCAGCAGGGAAGAAAAAGGACGGUACCUGACUAAGAAGCACCGGCUAAAUACGUG
rnacentral:rRNA from 1 species